rnacentral:ncRNA from 1 species
UAUCAUUAUUGCCAAACUCAGCGUGAGCUGAGGACGGAAAGCUACAGACCUUAAGCUCUUAAGGUGGCUGAGUUACAUAG